AUUGAACGCUGGCGGCAGGCCUAACACAUGCAAGUCGAGCGGAUGAAGGGAGCUUGCUCCUGGAUUCAGCGGCGGACGGGUGAGUAAUGCCUAGGAAUCUGCCUGGUAGUGGGGGAUAACGUCCGGAAACGGGCGCUAAUACCGCAUAAGUCCUGUGGGAGUACGUGGGGGAUCUUCGGACCUAAAGCUAUCAGAUGAGCCUAGGUCGGAUUAGCUAGUUGGUGGGGUAAAGGCCUACCCAGGCGACGAUCCGUAACUGGUCCGGGGGGGUGAUCAGGCACACUUGAACUGAGACACGGUCCAGACUCCUACGGGAGGCAGCAGUGGGUAAUAUGGGAGGAUGGACUGAGGCCUAAUCCAGCCAUGCCGCGUGUGUGAAGAAGGUCUUCUGAUUGUAAAACGCUUUAAGUUGGGAGGAAGAGCAGUAUGUUAAUACCUUGCUGUUUUGACGUUACCAGCAGAAGAAGCGCCGGCUAACUUCGUG
rnacentral:rRNA from 1 species